AGAUACGGCCCAGACUCCUACGGGAGGCAGCAGUGGGGAAUAUUGCACAAUGGGGGAAACCCUGAUGCAGCAACGCCGCGUGAAGGAUGACGGUUUUCGGAUUGUAAACUUCUUUUCUUAGUGACGAAGACAGUGACGGUAGCUAAGGAAUAAGCAUCGGCUAACUACGUGCCAGCAGCCGCGGUAAUACGUAGGAUGCAAGCGUUAUCCGGAUUUACUGGGUGUAAAGGGAGCGCAGGCGGGACUGCAAGUUGGAUGUGAAAUACCGUGGCUUAACCACGGGACUGCAUCCAAAACUGUAGUUCUUGAGUGAAGUAGAGGCAAGCGGAAUUCCGAGUGUAGCGGUGAAAUGCGUAGAUAUUCGGAGGAACACCAGUGGCGAAGGCGGCUUGCUGGGCUUUAACUGACGCUGAGGCUCGAAAGUGUGGGGAGCAAACAGGAUUAGAUACCCUGGUAGUCCACACUGUAAACGAUGAUAGCUAGGUGUGGGGGGUCUGACCCCUUCCGUGCCGGAGUUAACGCAAUAAGCUAUCCACCUGGGGAGUACGACCGCAAGGUUGAAACUCAAAGGAAUUGACGGGGGCCCGCACAAGCAGUGGAGUAUGUGGUUUAAUUCGAAGCAACGCGAAGAACCUUACCAGGUCUUGACAUCCGAUGCAUAGUGCAGAGAUGCAUGAAGUCCUUCGGGACAUCGAGACAGGUGGUGCAUGGUUGUCGUCAGCUCGUGUCGUGAGAUGUUGGGUUAAGUCCCGCAACGAGCGCAACCCCUAUUGUUAGUUGCUACGCAAGAGCACUCUAGCGAGACUGCCGUUGACAAAACGGAGGAAGGUGGGGACGACGUCAAAUCAUCAUGCCCCUUAUGACCUGGGCUACACACGUAAUACAAUGGCCGUUAACAGAGGGAAGCAAAGCGGUGACGCAGAGCAAAACCCUAAAAACGGUCCCAGUUCGGACUGUAGGCUGCAACCCGCCUACACGAAGUUGGAAUUGCUAGUAAUCGCGGAUCAGCAUGCCGCGGUGAAUACGUUCCCGGGCCUUGUACACACCGCCCGUCACACCAUGGGAGUUUGUAACACCCGAAGUCAGUGACCCAACCGCAAGGAGGGAGCUGCCGAAGGUGGGAUAAGCGACUGGGGUGAAGUCGUAACAAGGUAGCCGUAGGAGAACCUGCGGCUG
rnacentral:rRNA from 1 species